AUAGGUCUCAAAACGCUUGCUCUGCGCCAGUGGAUACACACCAUAGACAGUAAAAGAAAUAUGUGCAUGUCACAGACUGUCUGGGCAUGCACUUCCGCGUUUCAGAGAUCCGCCUUUUACUUUCCGUCAACAUUACAUUAAUUAACGUUUAGAAAAUUGAUUUUUGACAUUUGUGAAUCAGUUCAGAAUCGUCUGCUUAUGCAUUGCGAUACAUUUAAGAAUCACAUUUUUAUCCCACCCCUACUAAAUAUAGAGACACUUUGACAAGUGGGCACUGGAUGCUGAGUAUUGAAGGCGAGGUGGUGUGUGAGGGCACUCAGCCCAGUUUCCUGUCCGGCCUUGCCACUCUGUUUGCUGCUUAUUACUAGUUUAAUCUUGAGUAUCAGGAGGAAGCAGUGUGUACCUUGGAGUUCAUUCAAAGGUGCUUUGUGGGCAUAAAUCCAGAGAGAGGACCCAAAGCCAAGGGAAAAGUGCCAUCGAAAUAAAAACAGGACAAGUGAUACAGAAGAAAAUGUGUGGCAGUCAACCCACAUGUUGCCACUCUUCUGUGCAAAUUCCAAUGGAAUUUCUGAAAUUCACACUUUGAAUCCUGGGAUGGAACUUCAUCUAGAGCAUAAUUGUUAUUUGGUUGAUUUUUAUCUGUUUGAUGGAAAGUUUGUAUGACUUCUGCAAGUGCGCGGCUCCUUCCGGUCAGUCAUGCAUCACUUUUUUUUGUAUGACUUGUUUGGCAAUAUUGGUCUAUUCCUUAAUGAUGAUAGCUAUCUGAAAAUGUCUUUGUGGUUUUUAAAGGAUUAGUUCACCCAAAAAUGAAAAUUAAGUCAAUAAUUACUUAUGUCGUUUCACACCCGUAAGAUCUUCGUUCAUCCUCACAACACACAUUAAGAUGUGGCUCAGUGAAGCGUGCAUUUCUAGCAAGAUCAUUUCUUUUUUUCAAUGCCCAGAAAGCCUCUAAAACAUUUAAAACAAUUCAUGUGACUACAGUUGUUCAACCUAAAUAUUAUAAAGCGACGAGAAUACUUUUUUUGCCAACCCC